rnacentral:rRNA from 1 species
GAUGAACGCUGGCGGCGUGCCUAAUACAUGCAAGUCGAGCGAACGGACGAGAAGCUUGCUUGUCUGAUGUUAGCGGCGGACGGGUGAGUAACACGUGGAUAACCUACCUAUAAGACUGGGGUAACUUCGGGAAACCGGAGCUAAUACCGGAUAAUAUUUUGAACCGCAUGGUUCAAAAGUGAAAGACGGUCUUGCUGACACUUAUAGAUGGAUCCGGGCUGGAUUAGCUAGUUGGUAAGGUAACGGCCUACCAAGGCAACGAUGCGUAGCCGACCUGAGAGGGUGAUCAGCCACACUGGAACUGAGACACGGUCCAGACUCCUACGGGAGGCAGCAGUAGGGAAUCUUCGGCAAAGGGCGAAAGCCUGACCGAGCCACGCCGCGUGAGUGAUGAAGGUCUUCGGAUCGUAAAGCUCUGUUAUUAGGGAAGAACAUAUGUGUGAUUAACUGUGCACAUCUUGACGGUACCUAAUCAGAAAGCAACGGCUAACUACGUG